UAGCCAUUCAGUCACGUGACUUCGUUAUUUAAUCAUCAAAUGUUGCUAGUUAGUUGUGGAGAGGAUUUUUAUGAAUACAGUACUCUGUGACAGAUGGACCUGACAAGCUCUCCAGUGCCGACUAUUGUGUUUAUAGCGCUGUUCGUACUGCUCUGUUCCUACAGUCCCACGCUCUGGUAUCACGCCUCCAAUUGGCUCCGCAGAGCAGCUGCCUCCAGGGUCUUCUCACAGUCUAACACGUCUUGAUAGUGAGAUGUCUUCUUUUUCGUUAUUUCAAACAAAAGUCAUAAUUUUGUAAAAUAACAAACUGCAAUUCUUCAAUAAUACAAAUAUUAAAUUGUUAGUCUUCUACAUAGAUAGUUGAUAACGAAUGUACAAUUUGUUUCUUAUUAGCAAUAAUGCUAUAGAAUUAAAUACUAUCUCACCAGAAA